CAAGAGGUCUGCCUGCCUAGGAU
rnacentral:piRNA from 1 species